AUGCAUUUCUCACCUAACGGAUUCCAAAUGUCUGCGAUGGAUUCGUUUCAUUGGAGCUCCCUCGUGCUUGUUAUGUUGACUGUUGGAUGCAGCAACGGCCAGAAUCAACCGUGUCUGGUGGAGGAAGUAGUGGGAAACUACGUCAGGUUUGAAACCAACCUCGACCCCUCACAUGUGGCCAACUUUGCCACUUUAACGUGGCUUUUCAAUGGACUGGUGCCAAUUGUUACAUCUGUGUCCACUAACGUGAACAUUGAACGCGGCUAUGAAGGAAGAGUGUCACUGAAUUCAUCCACCUUUGCCCUGACGCUUGGACCUUUGACGAAGGAAGACAGUGGGGAUUAUUCUGUUUCCAUUAUCAGUCAAUCUGGGGUUUACUUGACCGAAAGCUUUUCGCUCAGAGUUGUAGAAAAUUUCUCCAACCAGGUGGUCUGUUCAAGCUGCCCAUUUUGGCUUUUGACUCUCUCUCUCUUUUUCACUUGGAUCUAAGGGCAGGACUUCACCUGUCCUAAAAGCCUCCGAGAGGUUCUGUGUGCCAUCAACUUCACACACACAAGCAUUCACUCACAACCAACACGCAUGCGUGCGCACACACACACAGACACAAAGAAAAUAUCACAAAAUGCGUGUACUACCGUGUUAAUUAAAGUAAUUGUUCAUGUGCUUCCUGUACUAGCUCUUUACAACAUAAACACAAGAUUAUUUGGAAU
rnacentral:lncRNA from 1 species